GGUAGUAUGGUUCAGGAACCAGCAUCAACAAUAGCCUCCAGGCAUUAUGUUAAUGACUAAUGGUGGUGAAACAUUUGCAGUUAUUUGAAUGAAAGGCACAUUAUUAUGGAAAGGGGCUUAAUGCAACUCCUUUUACAAAAUGAAGGAUGCAACUAACCUGGAAAUUUGGUGCUAAUAAUUUCCUGUGAGAACUAUAGAAGGCACAGGUAAACCUAAAGGUCACUGCAUAGCAAUGAUCCGGCGUUGUUCUGCAUUUGCUGAACUAUGCUUUGAUGCCAUAUGAAAUGUCAGGAGACAUCUGAACAGAUGAGAAUGUAAGAUUUCUCUGGAAGACUGUGGCGCUAUUCCAUAGUAAGAAACUCACAUGGUUAUUACAGCAUGUUUAGGGGGAAAUGUACUCUGCUUCCAUGAUGAAACAAUGUGUAUUCAACAUGUCACUGGCAUAGCAACAUAUGAGUAGUGCUGGAAGCCAGUCUCUCAUUAUUGGUAGCAGUGUUAGUUAUAUUUACAGUAUGUAAUUAGUAAUAUUUACAGUAUAUCUGGUCUUUUCUCAAUUGGUGCUGGUCUUCCUCCCUUAUCAUCACACAACCCUGUAAGGUCCUCUCCAGUGAUGCUUUGGAAACCUCUGAUGGAAUGUUUAUUUCAACAGGAUUCACUAUUAUACAUUGUUUCCUGUUUCUAAGCAUCCCAAUGAUGAAGAACAUAUGGCCAUCCAGAUGUUACAGGAACUCCCAUGAUUGCUCACCACGGUUCAUGCAGGCUUGGCCAAUGGGAAUGCUGAAGUCAGAAAAGAUCUCCACACCUGCCUCACAGCAUAGAAUGUAAUGGUGAUCUUUAGGAAUUUAUGGCCUUAAUAACCAAAUAAAUCAAUUCCAGAAUUUGUAAGCUAUUCAGAGAGCAAUCCUCAAUUCCCAGGACAACAGCUAAAAGGACCUGUCUUCAUGGGCAAAGAGGGAUGUCUGUGCUACUUGAAGAUUUCUUGUCACCAAAAUGGAAAGCUCUCAUAAUAAUAGAAUAAUAGAGUUGGAAGAGACCUCAUGGGCCAUGCAGUCCAACCCCCUGCCAUGCAGGAAAAGCACAAUCAAAGUACCCCCGACAGAUGGCCAUCCAGCCUCUACUUAAAAGCCUCCAAAGAAGGAACCUCCACCA